rnacentral:lncRNA from 10 species
GUAAAGUGCCUGAGGAUCUUUGGGAUGGAAAAGCUUUUGUGCUCAUUCGAGGUCCUGGAUAUCUUGGAUGCCCUACGUUCAAAUGCUCUGUUCUACCUGCUUGAAGCUAAACCUGGAGUGGUGAGAGGAAUGAGCUGGAGAUGGGAGAAACUGAAGCUAAGAAGACUAUUAUUGGAAGCCACAGACUGGUCCAGGACUCCCUGGAAGUGUUCGGGCUGUGGCUAGAGAGCCAACUGUUGAGGACAUCAUAAGAUUCUAAUGUGAAGACCUAUGGUUUCCUGAGAAUCUGCUAUGUGCCAGGCACUCUGCUAAAAGCCAGAGACAAUCAACACCAUAAGACAUGGCAAAAUAAAUGAACAAAUAAAUAAAAUAAAAGCCAGAGACAAAAAUUAAUGAUAUGAUUAUUAUUCCCCAAUAAUUACCUAAUAUCAAAUAAUGCUUACUUCGUACCAGACACCAUCCAAAGCAGUUUACAUACAUUAUGACAUUCCAUUCUCAAAAUAGUUAUGAGGGAAUGGUACUAUUACAUUCCUAUUUUCAUAAAUGACACACACCACUCAUACAUGUUGAAGUCUGAAGUUGAACCUGACAAAGGGUGUGUGCACCAGCACGGGGACAGAAGUGGAGGCUCACCUCACAGACCGUGGAGGCUUCUUCCCCGCUAGGACUCUAUCUCAUGCAGACUGCAAUCUUGACUCUGUAUUGAUUCAGCGGCAGCGCCUACAGAAAGGUCUGGGAGUGGGCGCACUGGACAUUGCAUGAAGGAGUUGGAUUAAAAGAACCAGUUGGCCCCACCAAUCUGGUAACUGUUUGGUCUUCAUAGGAUCUUCCUGAAGGCUGUACAACUUUGGUGUCCCAUAUGAUAGCCACUAGCCACAUGUGACUGUUGAGCAAUUGCAAUGUGGCUAGUCCAAAUGGAGAUGUGCUGGAAGUAGAAAUUACACAUUGGGUUAUGAAAAAAAAAAGUAAAAUGUAUCAUUUGUAGUUUUUAUAUUAAGGAUAUGCUGAAAUGGUAAUAUUCUAGGUAUAUUGGGUUGAAUAAAAUAUAUUAUUUAAAUAGUUUUAUUAAGACAUAAUGCACCAUUUAAGAUGUACACUCCCUUAUGCUUUUAGCAUAUUUACAGAGUUAUGCAUCCAUCACCACAAUCAAGUUUAGAACAUUUUCAUGACCUCAAGAAGGAACCUCGCACCCUUAGCUACCACUUCCCAGUCCUCUCAUCUCCCUGACCCCUUCUGCUAGGCAACCACUAAGCUGCUUUCUGUCUCUAUGGAUUUGUCUACUCUGGAGAUUUCAUGUGAAUGGAAUCAUAAAAUACGUGAUACUUUGUGCCUGGUUUCUUUCACUUAGAAUAAUGUUUUAAAAGUUCAUCCAUGUUGUAGCAUGUAUCAGUACUUCAUUCCUUUUUAUUGUGUAUAAUAUUCUGUUGUGUGGAUAUAUACCAAGUUUUAUUUAUUCAUUCAUUGUCAACGUUG